AUACGGAGGGUGCAAGCGUUAUUCGGAGUCACUGGGCGUAAAGGACGCGUAGGCGGGUUGGCAAGUCAGAUGUGAAAUCCUACAGCUUAACUGUAGAACUGCAUUUGAAACUGCUAACCUAGAGUAUGGGAGGGGGAGAUGGAAUUAGUGGUGUAGGGGUAAAAUCCGUAGAUAUCACUAGGAAUACCGAAAGCGAAGGCGAUCUCCUAGAACAUAACUGACGCUAAGGCGUGAAAGCGUGGGGAGCAAACAGGAUUAGAUACCCUUGUAGUCCC
rnacentral:rRNA from 1 species